UCUACAAGCUGGGUUAGGAAGAAGGACUGUCCCAGAGGAUGCUGGCCAUAAUGAGAUUACACACAUUCUUUCUGAGACAUAUCCGCAGAUGUCAGAACUGGAGGGUGCCUGGAUGCUGCACAAAGCCAUGGGAGGAUCAGGUCAAUGGAAACUCAACUUGUUGACACCUGAAGAGGAAGGAUACACAGGGGCCAGCCUUGUAAAGAGCCGGGGAGGCAAGGGCUGUCUUAUACAUUAUGCCCAUCCAGAACACACUGGACAUUUCUCCCCUACCCUUCACAGCUCUGGAGUUCCAGGCCAUGCCGAAAGCCAUGUGUCAUGCCAGGAGUAUGUGCCCCUGCAGCUCCAUGUCAAAAACAUGUAUCCAGUCUAAAGUCAAGGUUGAGGUAUGGCUUUGCUGACGUGAAACUGUAACAUUGAUGUUCAUUCUCCUUAUUUGAUGUACAGGUUGGUGUCGUCAUUGUGUCAUUUCUUAAAUAUCACAGCAACUACUGGAUGUUAGCAGUGUCCCUGUCAGCUUAACCCAAAAUUGCUAAAAAGCACUGUUUAGAGGUAUUGUUUUUUGUAAGUCAUCAGUCUUGAUAUUUAAUGUUAUAGACCCACUGUGAUGAUGACAUUAUCAACUUGGAUGAUGAAGUGGUAAGCGAUACAAUACAAAUGAAGAGAUCAUACAUAGUAUUUCAUAUUAUUGAGCCAUACAUUUAUGAUUUUAUUUCCAAUAUAUUUGAUGUGAAUGACCCAGUAAUGUUUUACAGGCAUCCAGUGAUGUCCAGCCAUCACAUUUGGAGUGUAAGAUGAGCAAACUGCAGUGCUACAUCAAUUCAUUCUGUUUCUUCUUAAGAUUUAGGUUUUAAGAAUUACCAGUAAAAUGUUUUACAUGAUCUGUUCUCAUCAAAGAGCACAUUUUACAUCUGAAACAGUACAUCUGCAUUUUUAAUGGGUAUUUAACUUGUCCCUUGUGCAGUCAACUAUUUACAAAAGACAUCUAUGGCCAUGUAUGUGUCUGUGGGGAGAGGUAAAAGCUUUUCUAAGUUUCUUCUUAGUAUUUUACAAAGUUUGAUGCAUUCUGUAUCCACUUGCUUAGUCCCACUGUAGAGUCACCUCAUCGUCCCCCCUUUUAUUAAAGACAAUUUGGACAGAUGAUGGAUUAAGGUUACCUGUCUAUGGAAUGUUACUGUUGAUCUUUACAGCAACACAAAUGAUGGAGAUUCAGACAGUGAUGAGAACAAGGAGCACUUUGGCAGGUAUGCAGUAGAAUAGAGUUUUUAAUGGGAUUGGAUAAUGACGCUUGCCUUGGUCUAUGGCACUGAAUUCUCAACAACAUUGUUGGGUGUGAAUGCUGCAAGCAUUCGCAUCCUAUGUUAUUGCUAACCUUUAUUAUUAUCCUUCCGUAACGUUUUUUCAUGCGCUAACUUGUCCCACACAAAAUAUAUACACAUAAGUGCAAUAGCAUGUGGUUUGCAAAUACUUUAAACAGAUAAGGUGCUUUUUACCAGCAGUAUUCCUUUUACA